rnacentral:rRNA from 1 species
GACGAACGCUGGCGGCGUGCUUAACACAUGCAAGUCGAACGGAAAGGCCCUGCUUUUGUGGGGUGCUCGAGUGGCGAACGGGUGAGUAACACGUGAGUAACCUGCCCUUGACUUUGGGAUAACUUCAGGAAACUGGGGCUAAUACCGGAUAGGAGCUCCUGCUGCAUGGUGGGGGUUGGAAAGUUUCGGCGGUUGGGGAUGGACUCGCGGCUUAUCAGCUUGUUGGUGGGGUAGUGGCUUACCAAGGCUUUGACGGGUAGCCGGCCUGAGGGGGUGACCGGCCACAUUGGGACUGAGAUACGGCCCAGACUCCUACGGGAGGCAGCAGUGGGGAAUAUUGCACAAUGGGCGGAAGCCUGAUGCAGCAACGCCGCGUGCGGGAUGACGGCCUUCGGGUUGUAAACCGCUUUCGCCUGUGACGAAGCGUGAGUGACGGUAAUGGGUAAAGAAGCACCGGCUAACUACGUGCCAGCAGCCGCGGUGAUACGUAGGGUGCGAGCGUUGUCCGGAUUUAUUGGGCGUAAAGGGCUCGUAGGUGGUUGAUCGCGUCGGAAGUGUAAUCUUGGGGCUUAACCCUGAGCGUGCUUUCGAUACGGGUUGACUUGAGGGAGGUAGGGGAGAAUGGAAUUCCUGGUGGAGCGGUGGAAUGCGCAGAUAUCAGGAGGAACACCAGUGGCGAAGGCGGUUCUCUGGGCCUUUCCUGACGCUGAGGAGCGAAAGCGUGGGGAGCGAACAGGCUUAGAUACCCUGGUAGUCCACGCUGUAAACGGUGGGUACUAGGUGUGGGGUCCAUUCCACGGGUUCCGUGCCGUAGCUAACGCUUUAAGUACCCCGCCUGGGGAGUACGGCCGCAAGGCUAAAACUCAAAGGAAUUGACGGGGCCCCGCACAAGCGGCGGAGCAUGCGGAUUAAUUCGAUGCAACGCGUAGAACCUUACCUGGGUUUGACAUGGAUCGGGAGCGCUCAGAGAUGGGUGUGCCUCUUUUGGGGUCGGUUCACAGGUGGUGCAUGGCUGUCGUCAGCUCGUGUCGUGAGAUGUUGGGUUAAGUCCCGCAACGAGCGCAACCCUUGUUCACUGUUGCCAGCACGUUAUGGUGGGGACUCAGUGGAGACCGCCGGGGUCAACUCGGAGGAAGGUGGGGAUGACGUCAAGUCAUCAUGCCCCUUAUGUCCAGGGCUUCACGCAUGCUACAAUGGCUGGUACAGAGAGUGGCGAGCCUGUGAGGGUGAGCGAAUCUCGGAAAGCCGGUCUCAGUUCGGAUUGGGGUCUGCAACUCGACCUCAUGAAGUCGGAGUCGCUAGUAAUCGCAGAUCAGCAACGCUGCGGUGAAUACGUUCCCGGGGCU